rnacentral:rRNA from 1 species
AUUGAACGCUGGCGGCAUGCCUUACACAUGCAAGUCGAACGGCAGCACGGGAGCAAUCCUGGUGGCGAGUGGCGAACGGGUGAGUAAAGUAUCGGAACGUGCCCAGUCGUGGGGGAUAACGUAGCGAAAGUUACGCUAAUACCGCAUACGAUCUAUGGAUGAGAGCGGGGGAUCGCAAGACCUCGCGCGAUUGGAGCGGCCGAUAUCAGAUUAGGUAGUUGGGGGGGUAAAGGCUCACCAAGCCGACGAUCUGUAGCUGGUCUGAGAGGACGACCAGCCACACUGGGACUGAGACACGGCCCAGACUCCUACGGGAGGCAGCAGUGGGGAAUUUUGGACAAUGGGCGCAAGCCUGAUCCAGCCAUGCCGCGUGCAGGAUGAAGGCCUUCGGGUUGUAAACUGCUUUUGUACGGAACGAAAAGGUUUGACUUAAUACGUUGGACUCAUGACGGUACCGUAAGAAUAAGCACCGGCUAACUACGUGCCAGCCGCCGCAGUAA